UGGGGAAUCUUGCACAAUGGGCGCAAGCCUGAUGCAGCAACGCCGCGUGCGGGAAGACGGCCCUAGGGUUGUAAACCGCUUUCAGGAGGGAAGAAAAUGACGGUACCUCCAGAAGAAGGUGCGGCCAACUACGUGCCAGCAGCCGCGUGACACGUAGGCACCAAGCGUUAUCCGGAUUUAUUGGGCGUAAAGAGCUCGUAGGCGGUUCGGUAAGUCGGUGUGAAAUCCAAGCUCAACCUGGACGCACCGAUACUGCUGUGACUCGAGUGCAGUAGGGGGAGCAGGGAAUUCCUGGUGUAGCGGUGAAAUGCGCAGAUAUCAGGAGGAACACCAGUGGCGAAGGCGCCGCUCUGGGCCGUAACUGACGCUGAGGAGCGAAAGCAUGGGUAGCAAAACAGGAUUAGAUACCCUGGUAGUCCAUGCCGUAAACGUUGGGCACUAGGUGUGGGUCUCAACCAACGAGAUCCGCGCCGUCGCUAACGCAUUAAGUGCCCCGCCUGGGGAGUACGGUCGCAAGACUAAAACUCAAAGGAAUUGA
rnacentral:rRNA from 1 species